UCUAAUCUAUACCCAAUACCCAUAUAAUACUCUAAUCUCUACCUUCUACUUAUAUUUUUGACAACCAGUAUUUAUCAUUGCUUUUCAUUGCUUCUGCAGUCACUUGGAUCGUUGACUUGAGGGGGGGGGGGGGUUGCUAUUUCACAUGACUUUCAACGUAGUUCAUUAGUUACUAUCAUUCACAGUUCAAGAUGUGUUAGUCAUUAACUGUGUUACUUCAAGAUGCUACAAGACCUGCACGUCCCGAUUCUCUUUUCCUGCCUGUACUUGGUCAUCCAAGCUGCAGAUGUGAUUCAGGAUCCAACAUUUAUAGUGUCUUCUCCUAUGAAAAAUAUCUCUGUGACCUGCAAGCACGAUGACAGCAACAAAUACACAAAAAGUUGGUACCGACAAGAAAAGACGAAAGGGCUCAUCCUUAUGGGCUACACAAACUAUGAAGGAAAAGCUUCAAUGGAGCCUGGGUUCACUGACAGUAGAAUAGAAAUGAAACCUGAAAGCAGCCAAAAAAGUAUCCUGACCAUCACUGAAGUCUCUGCCCAAGACACCGCAGUUUAUUUUUGUGCCAGCAGUGCCAGCAGUGCACACAGCAAGAUAAUCAUGGAGAAAGAGUGUCUAAAACCGGGAAGCUCUGACUCCUCCCUGACAUACAAGCCGUUAUAAACCACAGCUAGGCCUGAGAUCGCAUCCUAAUUCCUGGUAAUGUAGAAGCAAUGCAUUCAUAAGUAAUAAAACCAUCGACCGCAAGCAUCCAUUGGCAUGCAAAGCAUACAGCUGCGGGAUAGAUAUUUCUAUAAAGGGGCUUAGAACAUCUUGUAUUCUUGAAAGUGUACACUAGAGGGAGCUAUGUGUAUCAUAAUGCACAUGGAAGAAGAAUGAACUGAAAGCUACAUUAUGUCAGUCACCGUUUCCAAAAUCGCUUCCAAUCUCAUUUUUUUCAAAGAUGCUUUACAGCAGCCGGGGGGCAUUAAACAUGAGGUUCUGCAGCAGCUAUUGUGAAAGACUGUAAGUUGCUUCAGAAUUUGCACUCCAUAAGGCACAUGGCUCGAGCCGCUGACAUAAAGGUCUGAUGUGAUUUACUGUAGAUAACGGAAAGGACAUUAUCCGUCAACACUGUCGGAUUGAAAUGCGCUAAAUCUCUAUAAGUAUGCAAUGUUUUGCUGAGGGGAUCGACUGUUAUAGAAAAAAAAAUCACAGGAAGCGAACAACAUAAAAACAACAAGAAAGGGGUAGAAAUCCUCCAAAGCUACGAACCUGGAGCCUUAGAGUGAAAUAUAUUACCAGGAAUGAGGCGGUCCUCAAACAUGUAAUCACCAUAUCCAUGAGAUAGAUAUUAAAUAGAUCUGAGAUAGAGAGAUAGACAUGAGAUAGAUAGAUAGAUAGAUAGAUAGAUAGAUAAUUAGAGAUAGAUAGAUAAAUAUGAGAUAAAGAGAUAGAUACUGU